rnacentral:tRNA from 1 species
GGGGGUGUAGCUCAUCUGGAUAGAGCGCCAGAUUCCUAAUUUGGAGGCAACAGGUUCGAGUCCUGUCACUCUCACCA